CGCCGAAGGCGUCAAGGAACACUGUGCCUAACCCGGGGGCAUGUCUAGCUUGCUAGCCGUCCCUCGUGUUGCAAAUCUAUUUAAUCCACACGACUCUCGGCAACGGAUAUCUCGGCUCUCGCAUCGAUGAAGAACGUAGCGAAAUGCGAUACCUGGUGUGAAUUGCAGAAUCCCGCGAACCAUCGAGUCUUUGAACGCAAGUAGCGCCCGAGGCCACUCGGCCGAGGGCACGCCUGCCUGGGCGUCACGCCAAAACACGCUCCCAACCACUCUCAACGGGAAUCGGGAUGCGGCAUCUGGUCCCUCGUCUCUCAAGGGACGGUGGACCGAAGAUUGGGCUGCCGGCGUACCGCGCCGGACACAGCGCAUGGUGGGCGUCCUCGCUUUAUCAAUGCAGUGCAUCCGGCGCGCAGCUGGCAUUAUGGCCUUUGAACGACCCAACAAACGAAGCGCACGUCGCUUCGACCGCGACCCCAGGUCAGGCGGGACCACCCGCUGAG
rnacentral:rRNA from 1 species